UACGUAGGGUGCAAGCGUUGUCCGGAAUUAUUGGGCGUAAAGAGCUCGUAGGCGGUUUGUCGCGUCGAAUGUGAAAACCCGGGGCUCAACCCCGGGCCUGCAUUCGAUACGGGCAGACUAGAGUUCGGUAGGGGAGUCUGGAAUUCCUGGUGUAGCGGUGAAAUGCGUAGAUAUCUGGAGGAAUACCGGUGGCGAAGGCGGCAUCCUGGACCGGCAUUGACGCUGAGGAGCGAAAGCCAGGGGAACAAACGGG
rnacentral:rRNA from 1 species